AGAGUUUGAUCAUGGCUCAGGAUGAACGCUAGCGGCGCGCUUAACACAUGCAAGUCGUGCGAUCGGACCGGACCAAAGUCCUUCGGGACAGCGGACCGGUUACGGAGCGGCGGACGGGUGAGUAACGCGUAGCUAACCUACCUUCGGGCGGGAGAUAGCAACGGGAAACCGUUGUUAAUAUCCCAUAACAUGGGAGAACCCAAGUUCUCUCAUCAAAGUCGCUUCGGCUACACCUGAAGAUGGGGCUGCGUCCUAUUAGCUAGACGGUGAGGUAAAGGCUCACCGUGGCCAAGAUAGGUAGGGGGCCUGAGAGGGCGAUCCCCCUCACUGGGACUGAGACACGGCCCAGACUCCUACGGGAGGCUGCAGUGGGGAAUCUUGCGCAAUGGUCGAAAGGCUGACGCAGCGACGCCGCGUGGAGGACGAAGGCCCUCGGGUUGUAAACUCCUUUUCUGGGAGACGAAUAAGGCCAGCAGGUAAUGGUUGGCCGAUGACGGUACCCCAGGAACAAGCGCCGGCUAACUUCGUGCCAGCAGCCGCGGUAAGACGAAGGGCGCAAGCGUUAUCCGGAAUUACUGGGCGUAAAGGGCGUCUAGGCGGUCGGUCAAGUCGACGUUGAAAUUCCUCGGCUAAACUGAGGGAGGUACGUCGAAACUGACCGGCUAGAGGGACGUAGAGGUAAGCGGAACUCUCGGAGUAGCGGUGAAAUGCGUAGAGACCGAGAGGUACCCCGAUGGUGAAGACAGCUUACUGGGCGUCUCCUGACGCUGAAGCGCUAAGGCCAGGGGAGCGAAGGGGAUUAGAUACCCCCGUAGUCCUGGCUUCAAACGAUGUGGGCUUGGUGUCGGCCCCCUAUAGAGGGUCGUUGCCGGA
rnacentral:rRNA from 1 species